AAUAGAUACCCAGGUAGUCCACGCCGUAAACCGAUGAGUGCUAAGUGUUAGAGGGUUUCCGCCCGUUUAGUGCUGCAGCAAACGCAUUAAGCACUCCGCCUGGGGAGUACGGCCGCAAGGCUGAAACUCAAAGGAAUUGACGGGGGCCCGCACAAGCGGUGGAGCAUGUGGUUUAAUUCGAAGCAACGCGAAGAACCUUACCAGGUCUUGACAUCUCCUGACAACCCUAGAGAUAGGGCGUUCCCCUUCGGGGGACAGGAUGACAGGUGGUGCAUGGUUGUCGUCAGCUCGUGUCGUGAGAUGUUGGGUUAAGUCCCGCAACGAGCGCAACCCUUGAUCUUAGUUGCCAGCAUUCAGUUGGGCACUCUAAGGUGACUGCCGGUGACAAACCGGAGGAAGGUGGGGAUGACGUCAAAUCAUCAUGCCCCUUAUGACCUGGGGCUACACACGUGCUACAAUGGAUGGUACAAAGGGCUGCAAGACCGCGAGGUUAAAGCGAAUCCCAUAAAAACCAUUCUCAGUUCGGAUUGCAGG
rnacentral:rRNA from 1 species